rnacentral:lncRNA from 1 species
UAUGUCUCAAUCUCAAAAAUCUUGUGAUUCCUCACUAGGACUACUUUGGCUAAAAUUUUACUGAAUUGAAAUACAGUAAUUCAUCAUCUUCAAUUUUACUUGGAGCAGUCAAUCCCAUCUUGACUCGCACUCAAACUUCAUAAUUGCUUGACUAUAGCCAGAAAUCUUUCAUCAUCAAAUUAAAAAUUUGGAUAGUCUGACAUCAAAGUAUAGUGAGUUGUUUGCAAGUCACCGAGACAGCCUC